CUUGAGUCUAUGCAGUUUUCAAUUCAUUAAGGUCAGUCCAAGAAUAUUUGAUCUAACUGCCCAUCCAGGUAAGCUCUGUGUGUGUGUGUGUGUGUGUGUAUGCAUGCUCACUGAGGCUUGGUGAGACUUUAAAUAUUGUUAAUUCUUUUUUUAAAAAAUUUUGUAUUAGAGUAUAGUUGAUUUACAAAGUUGCUUUAAUUUCAGGUGUACGCAAAGUAGAUCAGUUGUACAUAUACAUAUAUCCAUUGUUUUUCAGAUUCUUUUCCCAUAUGGGUUAUUAAAGAAUAAUGAAUAGAGUUCCCUGUGCUAUACAGUAGGUCCUUUUUAGUUAUCUAUUUUAUGUACAGUAGUGUGAGCUUUGUUAAUUCUGAUUGUGAAGCAAGGUGAUCACUGACAUGUUCUUACAGGGGACAGUUUUCCAGUUUUGAAGAGACCUGUUGGGAUAAACACAUUCAAGAUAAUAGCGCUGGGACAGGACAAAAGCCACUUCAUUGUAAAAAUGCCUUCAACCUGAAACAUUCUGAUGGACCUGUGCACGAACAAUGGACACACACUGCCUAAUGUGGGAUGGAAGAGUAGCUGGUGGACCGCGGCAUUCUCUGGAUUCAUGGUUUGCUCUUUGGAGCCAGAUGGCACGCAAUACGUCUGAAGCUAAAUCCAGUCUUGUGACAGUGGUCAUCGCCAGCGAGGAACCACUUGGUCUGUGACGCCAAACUAUUCGGUUCUUUGUGAGUCUUUUCCAUCAAGCAAGCUCUUGGGUACUUCUCUGAGUGUAAAGAAACAUACAUGCCCCUUGAUGACUGUGGGACUCUUGUUUUGCGAGGUAUCAUUUUGUUUGUUCUGUGUUUCAUCUACCUCACUCUUCUUUAGAAAAAAUAAUGAAGAUCACAUAAAUAAUAACCUUGGUACUUAUCAUCAACUAGCUUGUUGCUUCACAAUCUGAUUUCAGUGCUUACUUUUCAAUGAUUUCAUUAUUGAUUGAGGUAUCCAUUAAUUCAGCAAAGUCUUCCCUUACAUACAAACUAAGAUUGUAGGCGCUCAAGUCAAAUGAUAUAAGUUGGGUUCAUCAACACACAGGUUUUAAAAACCAUGUCAUCUUGGGAAACUCUUUACAUUUUUCUCAGUUCUAGCUUCUAUGGCUUAUUUACAUUGAAGAUAAUCCUCCUAAUUGUACCAUUUAUAAAAGUGAUUUGUAAACUGUAAAGUACGAUGCAAAUACUUUUGAUUCUCAGAGGUUAGGACUGGAAUGUUAUAUAAGUUAAAUAUAAGCAUAUUUUAAGCAUCUAUUGCAUGCUCAGAAAUACGUGAGGUGUUUUGUAGAUAAAAGGACUAAAUUGACAGAGUUUCUAUACUCAAGAAAGUUUGAGUCUAUGAGAAGAAAAUAAUUUAAUCAUGGAAAAGACACAAAUUUAGCCACUGAGUUGUCUGAAAAUUUUCUAUAAAGUAAUCUGUUUGCCAGGCAAGGCCAUUAACAUUGUGAUUCUCUGUGUUCCUUGGUCUGGUUUUGCAAUAACCUAUGUAACCAGCAAUAGCUCUUAUUUUAAGAUAAGCUUCCUCUAAACAUAAUAAAUUAUUCACUUUUAUUUAAUAGUGAAUUAAA
rnacentral:lncRNA from 1 species